CCGCCCGUCACACCAUCCGAGUUGGGGGUACCCGAAGUCGCUAGUCUAACCCGUAAGGGAGGGCGGUGCCGAAGGUACGCUUGGUGAGGAGGGUGAAGUCGUAACAAGGUAGCCGUACCGGAAGGUGCGGCUGGAUCACCUCCUUUCUCAGAGAAAGG
rnacentral:rRNA from 1 species